GACGAACGCUGGCGGCGUGCCUAAUACAUGCAAGUUGAGCGCUGAAGGUUGGUACUUGUACCAACUGGAUGAGCAGCGAACGGGUGAGUAACGCGUGGGGAAUCUGCCUUUGAGCGGGGGACAACAUUUGGAAACGAAUGCUAAUACCGCAUAAAAACUUUAAACACAAGUUUUAAGUUUGAAAGGUGCAAUUGCAUCACUCAAAGAUGAUCCCGCGUUGUAUUAGCUAGUUGGUGAGGUAAAGGCUCACCAAGGCGAUGAUACAUAGCCGACCUGAGAGGGUGAGCGGCCACAUUGGGACUGAGACACGGCCCAAACUCCUACGGGAGGCAGCAGUAGGGAAUCGUCGGCAAUGGACGAAAGUCUGACCGAGCAACGCCGCGUGAGUGAAGAAGGUUUUCGGAUCGUAAAACUCUGUUGGUAGAGAAGAAAGUUGGUGAGAGUGGAAAGCUCAUCAAGUGACGGUAACUACCCAGAAAGGGACGGCUAACUACGUG
rnacentral:rRNA from 1 species